GGCGCGAGCAGGUGCGAAAGCAGGUCAUAGUGAUCCGGUGGUUCUGAAUGGAAGGGCCAUCGCUCAACGGAUAAAAGGUACUCCGGGGAUAACAGGCUGAUACCGCCCAAGAGUUCAUAUCGACGGCGGUGUUUGGCACCUCGAUGUCGGCUCAUCACAUCCUGGGGCUGAAGUAGGUCCCAAGGGUAUGGCUGUUCGCCAUUUAAAGUGGUACGCGAGCUGGGUUUAGAACGUCGUGAGACAGUUCGGUCCCUAUCUGCCGUGGGCGCUGGAGAACUGAGGGGGGCUGCUCCUAGUACGAGAGGACCGGAGUGGACGCAUCACUGGUGUUCGGGUUGUCAUGCCAAUGGCACUGCCCGGUAGCUAAAUGCGGAAGAGAUAAGUGCUGAAAGCAUCUAAGCACGAAACUUGCC
rnacentral:rRNA from 1 species